rnacentral:rRNA from 1 species
UACGGAGGGUGCGAGCGUUGUCCGGAAUCACUGGGCGUAAAGGGCGCGUAGGCGGCUUCUCAAGCGUGUGGUGAAAGUCCGGGGCUCAACCCCGGAUCGGCCGUGCGGACUGGGGAGCUCGAGUUCUGUAGAGGCGGGUGGAAUUCCGGGUGUAGCGGUGGAAUGCGUAGAGAUCCGGAAGAACACCGGUGGCGAAGGCGGCCUGCUGGGCAGUAGCUGACGCUGAUGCGCGACAGCGUGGGGAGCAAACAGG